rnacentral:rRNA from 1 species
GACGAACGCUGGCGGCGUGCUUAACACAUGCAAGUCGAACGGUAAGGCCCUGCUUUUGUGGGGUGCUCGAGUGGCGAACGGGUGAGUAACACGUGAGUAACCUGCCCUUGACUUUGGGAUAACUUCAGGAAACUGGGGCUAAUACCGGAUAGGAGCUCCUGCUGCAUGGGGGGGGUUGGAAAGUGUCGGCGGUUGGGGAUGGACGCGCGGCUUAUCAGCUUGUUGGUGGGGUAGUGGCUUACCAAGGCUUUGACGGGUAGCCGGCCUGAGAGGGUGACCGGCCACAUUGGGACUGAGAUACGGCCCAGACUCCUACGGGAGGCAGCAGUGGGGAAUAUUGCACAAUGGGCGGAAGCCUGAUGCAGAAACGCCGCGUGCGGGAUGACGGCAUUCGGGUUGUAACCCGCUUUCGCCUGUGACGAAGCGUGAGUGACGGUAAUGGGUAAAGAAGCACCGGCUAACUACGUG